rnacentral:rRNA from 1 species
GAUGAACGCUAGCGGCAGGCCUAAUACAUGCGAGUCGAACGGGAUCCAGAUCAAAGCUUGCUUUGGUCUGGUGAGAGUGGCGCACGGGUGCGUAACGCGUGAGCAACCUACCCUUGUCAGGGGGAUAGCCCGGCGAAAGUCGGAUUAAUACCGCAUGACAUCAUUGAGAGGCAUCUUUCGAUGAUCAAAGAUUUAUCGGACAAGGAUGGGCUCGCGUGACAUUAGCUAGUUGGUAAGGUAACGGCUUACCAAGGCUGCGAUGUCUAGGGGCUCUGAGAGGAGAAUCCCCCACACUGGUACUGAGACACGGACCAGACUCCUACGGGAGGCAGCAGUAAGGAAUAUUGGUCAAUGGACGGAAGUCUGAACCAGCCAUGCCGCGUGCAGGAAGACGGCCCUAUGGGUUGUAAACUGCUUUUAUACGGGAACAAACGUCGGUACGUGUACCGGUCUGAGUGUACCGUAAGAAUAAGGAUCGGCUAACUCCGUG